rnacentral:rRNA from 1 species
UACGUAGGCGGAAAAUUAAGUCAGUAGUGAAAUCCUGCAGCUUAACUGUAGAACUGUUAUUGAUACUGGUUUUCUUGAAUAUAGUUGAGGUAGGCGGAAUGUGUAAUGUAGCGGUGAAAUGCUUAGAUAUUACACAGAACACCGAUUGCGAAGACAGCUUACUAAGCUAUGAUUGACGCUGAGGUACGAAAGCGUGGGGAGCGAACAGGAUUAGAUACCCUGGUAGUCC